rnacentral:rRNA from 1 species
CAUACCGAACACGGAAGUUAAGCUCUUCAGCGCCGAUGGUAGUUGGGGGUCUCCCCCUGUGAGAGUAGGACGUCGCUGGGC